AUUGAACGCUGGCGGCAGGCCUAACACAUGCAAGUCGAACGAGUGGCGGACGGGUGAGUAAUGUCUGGGAAACUGCCCGAUGGAGGGGGAUAACUACUGGAAACCGUAGCUAAUACCGCAUCCCAUCGGAUAUGCCCAAGUGGGAUUAGCUAGUGGGUGGGGUAACGGCGUACCUAGGCGACGAUCCCUCGCUGGUCUUAGAGUGUGACCAGCCACACGGGAACUGAGACACGGUCCAGACUCCUACGGGAGGCAGCAGUGGGGAAUAUUGGACAAUGGGCGCAAGCCUGAUGCAGCCAUGCCGCGUGUAUGAAGAAGGCCUUCGGGUUGUAAAGUACUUUCAGCGAGGAGGCGUUACUCGCAGAAGAAGCACCGGCUAACUCCGUGCCAGCCGCCGCGGUAAUAC
rnacentral:rRNA from 1 species